rnacentral:rRNA from 1 species
GAUGAACGCUGGCGGCGUGCCUAAUACAUGCAAGUCGAGCGAACAGACGAGGAGCUUGCUCCUCUGACGUUAGCGGCGGACGGGUGAGUAACACGUGGAUAACCUACCUAUACGACUGGGAUAACUUCGGGAAACCGGAGCUAAUACCGGCUAAUAGAUUGAACCUCAUGGCUCAAUAGUGAAAGACGGUUUUGCUGGCACUUAGAGAUGGAUCCGCGCCGCAUUAGCUAGUUGGUAAGGUAACGGCUUACCAAGGCAACGAUGCGUAGCCGACCUGAGAGGGUGAUAAGCCACACUAGAACUGAGACGCGGUCCAGACUCCUACGGGAGGCAGCAGUGCGGAAUCUUCCACAAUGGGCGAAAGCCUGACCGAGCACCGCCGCGUGAGUGAUGAAGGUCUUCGCAUCGUAGAACUCUGUUAUUAGGGAAGAGCAAAUGUGUAAGUAACUAUGCACGUCUUGCCGGUACCUAAUCAGAAAGCCCCGGCUAACUACGUG